UGCAGGAGUCCAAAGCCUCGCUGCGUUUUAUGGGGAACAGUUAUUAAUAUUGGGUCAAAUAAUCCAGUAUUUCUUCACUCUGGUGCUGAAGGUCCGCUGCGCUGCUUCUUUACUCUGUUUCCCCCUUUACUCUGUUUUCAUUUAAAGCCCCUUAGUCUUAAAACAGCGGCACUAGCGGGCCUUCAGCACCGAUAGUGAUUAUUACCCUGCCGGAUUAGAUUAGAGCAGCGCGGCGGAGCUCUGUAAGUCCCGGUGACGCUGCAACUGGAUUUUAUAAAGAUAUGAGAAAAGAAUGCUUUCGUCGUGGAUUUAACAUGAAAAGGCCCAGUUCCAAAAGACACAACAUCCUCAGUGUCCUGGAGCUCCAGCUGAAGCACUGGCCACUCCACCUUCUCCAUCCCCACCCAAAAGAGGUACUUCUAAGGCAGCUAGUUGAAGGCGUGAUUGAGGUCCAUGCCAGAGGGGUUCUGCACUGUGACCUCAAGCCAUAGAACAUCCUGGUUCAGAUGUACAGUUAGGAACCACGCCUUCAUCUUCUGUUCUUCUGGACCUUCCUCAUGAGUGGUUUACCCAUGAGGCCAAAUCCUCCACAGUGUUGCAGAUAGGAAUCAUCCUGCUGUGUGUGAGAGGUGACCCUUCAACACCAGCACGGAGAUCACCUCAAAGAAGUCUCAGAUCAUCUCUCCACCAUCUGCUCUAUGACCCCUGGCUAAGUAUACACCACGACACAGCCACCACAUCAGGCACAGCUCAGUCAGAUUUUUACAUUUUUCAAUUUGUGUAUUGACCCAAGGAGUAUGGGUUCCUCUCAAGGUUUCUAUCUCUCUUUCUGAGAGAAUUUUCUUUGCCGCUGUCUCCUUUAUGCUUACUCAAAAGAGGUUUGGACACUUUUUUUUUUUUUUUAACUGUUCUUAAUUUUGUUUGUUUCUUAACUUUGUCAAUAAAUGUUUUUUAUUUCUA